GAUGAACGCUGGCGGCGUGCCUAAUACAUGCAAGUCGAGCGAACAGAUGAGGAGCUUGCUCCUCUGACGUUAGCGGCGGACGGGUGAGUCACACGUGGAUAACCUACCUAUAAGACUGGGAUAACUUCGGGAAACCGGAGCUAAUACCGGAUAAUAUAUUGAACCGCAUGGUUCACUAGUGAAAGACGGUUUUGCUGUCACUUAUAGAUGGAUCCGCGCCGCAUUAGCUAGUUGGUAAGGUAACGGCUUACCAAGGCAACGAUGCGUAGCCGACCUGAGAGGGAGAGCGACCACACUGGAAGUGAGACACGGCCCAGACUCCUACGGGAGGAAGCAGUAGGGAAUCUUCCGCAAGGGGGGAAAGCCGGACGGAGCAACGCCGCGUGAGUGAUGAAGGUCUUCGGAUCGUAAACCUCUGUUAUUAGGGAAGAAGAAAUGUGUAAGUAACUAUGCACGUCUUGACGGUACCUAAUCAGAAAGCCACGGCUAACUACGUG
rnacentral:rRNA from 1 species